GACGUAGGAGGCGAGCGUUGUCCGGAUUUACUGGGCGUAAAGGGCGCGUAGGCGGCAGAUUAAGUCAGCUGUGAAAUCUCCGAGCUUAACUCGGAACUGUCAGCUGAUACUGUUUUGCUAGAGUGCGGAAGGGGCAAUCGGAAUUCUUGGUGUAGCGGUGAAAUGCGUAGAUAUCAAGAGGAACACCUGAGGUGAAGACGGGUUGCUGGGCCGACACUGACGCUGAGUGCGCGAAAGCCAGGGGAGCAAACGGG
rnacentral:rRNA from 1 species